rnacentral:rRNA from 1 species
GACGAACGCUGGCGGCGUGCUUAACACAUGCAAGUCGAACGGAAAGGCCCUGCUUUUGUGGGGUGCUCGAGUGGCGAACGGGUGAGAAACACGUGAGUAACCUGCCCUUGACUUUGGGGUAACUUCAGGAAACUGGGGCUAAUACCGGAUAGGAGCUCCUGCUGCAUGGUGGGGGUUGGAAAGUUUCGGCGGUUGGGGAUGGACUCGCGGCUUAUCAGCUUGUUGGUGGGGUAGUGGCUUACCAAGGCUUUGACGGGUAGCCGGCCUGAGAGGGUGACCGGCCACAUUGGGACUGAGAUACGGCCCAGACUCCUACGGGAGGCAGCAGUGGGGAAUAUUGCACAAUGGGCGGAAGCCUGAUGCAGCAACGCCGCGUGCGGGAUGACGGCCUUCGGGUUGUAAACCGCUUUCGCCUGUGACGAAGCGUGAGUGACGGUAAUGGGUAAAGAAGCACCGGCUAACUACGUG